rnacentral:rRNA from 1 species
GACAGAGGGUGCAAACGUUGUUCGGAAUUACUGGGCGUAAAGCGCGUGUAGGCGGCUUUGCAAGUCGGGUGUGAAAGCCCUCAGCUCAACUGAGGAAGUGCGCCCGAAACUGCAGAGCUUGAGUGCCGGAGAGGGUGGCGGAAUUCCCCAAGUAGAGGUGAAAUUCGUAGAUAUGGGGAGGAACACCGGUGGCGAAGGCGGCCACCUGGACGGUAACUGACACUGAGACGCGAAAGCGUGGGGAGCAAACAGG